rnacentral:lncRNA from 1 species
ACUGGAGCAGGAAGUCGGCCUGUGGCCGGCCAUGUUCAUGAGGGCGCGUCCCUUGGCACCCCUGUAGCCGCUAUGUUUCCCACGCCCGUGGCAGGCCUGAGAGAUUAUGUUUGCGGGGGGUGCUUUUUUUGUAGCUUCUGUGUUCGCCAUAUUUGAAAGGGGCAGACGGCCAUGUUCGUGAACGGCGCUUCCCUUGGUGCACCUGUGGCCGCCAUGUUUGAGCGAGGUGGGCAACUAUGUUCUUGAGGGGGGAGCAACCAUGUUCUUGAGGGGCUCUUCCCUUGAAGCCUCUUUGGCCACCAUGUUUGAGAGGGGCAGACGGCCAUGUUUGUAAGGGGCGCUUCUCUUGGUGCGCCUGUGGCCGCUAUGUUUGAGAGGGGCAGGCAACCAUGUUCGUGAGGGGCGCUUCCCUUGAAGCCUCUUUGGCGCCAUGUAUGAGAGGGGCGGACGGCCAUGUUUGUGAGGGGCUCUUCCUUUGGUGCGCCUGUGGCCGCCAUGUUUGAGAGGGGCGGGCGGGACGUCCGUGAGGGGCCCCUCCCCUUGCAUCCCCUGGCUAACAGCCUGCAGGAGGGCGGGAAGUGCUUUCUCCAGUGCCGCAGAGCGCUGGUUUCUGAGUGCCGGUUAGCGGCCUUGAGCAGCGCGAGGGACUCCCAGGCCUGCCCGUGCUGCGGUCCCGCUGGGGAGCUUUGCGCGCUUGUCGCAGGCUGUGCUGCCCCGCGACAUGCCGCUUUGGGUUGGGGUGGCCCGCCCGGGAAGUGGCCUCAGCUGUCCCCCACGUUGCGGGCGGGAGGGGGCCUUAGUGGAGGCCGUCGGUGGGCCCAGGAGGCCAGGGUCCGGCGUCGGGCUGGGGGCCGGUUUUCGUCCCCCGUUACGUGCAAGGCGGGAAAUGACCCCUCCGCCGUCCCGUUACUCUCCGGGGCCAACGUGGACUCGCAGGGGCCACGCCUUUUCCAAUGGCCACGCCCCUAGCAGGCCUGGGUGGACCCGCAGCGGCCACGCCUCCUCCAAUGGCCGCGCCCUAUCAGGUCUGGAUGGACACACGGCGGCCACGCCUCCUCCAGCAAACACGCCCCUAGCAGGCCUGGGCUGCUGUGAUGCGUCCUCUUUGGCCGCCGCUGAGGGAGGUGUUUGUAAAGCUGAGGACCACUGUUCUGUUGUGGGUUUUUUUGUUUGUUUGUUUGUUUUUUGAGACGGAGUCUCGCUCUGUCACCCAGGCUGGAGUGCAGUGGCGCGAUCUCAGCUCACUGCAACCUCCGCCUCAUGGGCUCAAGCCAUUCUCCUGCCUCAGCCUCCUGAGUAGCUGGGAUUACAGGCAGGCGCCACCACACCUGGCUAAUUUUUGUAUUUUUAGUAGAGAUGGGGUUUCAUCAUGUUGGUCAGGCUGGUCUCGAACUCCUGACCUCAAAUAAUCCGCCCACCUUGGCCUCCCAAAGUGCUGGGAUUACAGGCGUGAGCCACCGUGCCAGGCCCACUGUUCUUUUCUUUUCUUUUUUUUUUUUGACGGGAGUCUCGCUAUGUCGCCCAGGCUGGAGUGGAGUGACGCAAUCUCGGCUCACUGCAAGCUCUGCCUCCCGGGUUCACGCCAUUCUCCUGCCUCAGCCUCCCGAGUAGCUGGGACUACAGGCUCCCGCCACCACACCCGGCUAAUUUUUUUGUAUUUUUAGUAGAGACGGGGUUUCACCGUGUUAGCUAGGAUGAUCUCGAUCUCCUGACCUCGUGGUCCGCCUGCUGCGGCCUCCCAAAAUGCUGGGAUUACAGGCGUGAGCCACCGCGCUCGGCACACUGUUCUGUUCUUAAGAAUUUCAACAUAGAAAUGAAAUCCAGCCUUGCCUUAAACCCUCCAGCCCUCAAGUUCUCUGGGCUCUAGGAUGUGUGUCUUCAGAAAAGGGCGCAGGGUGGAAGCCACAUCAGAGGCCGAGGACACCUGGCCCCUCCCCUCUCCGCCCGCAGGUGGCUGCGCAGUCCAGGGCUGGCUCCCAGGUGCUCGGGCGCAGGGUGCACCCAGCAGCCCGUACUGUGCUUUGCAAAUAAAUGGGAGUCUUAUUUCCUUUUUAAAUCAUUAUUUUUUUUUUCAAGUGAGAACAUUUAAAUCAGGCAGUUUUGUCAGAAGCAUUAGGUUUUCCACUUAAACUACAAAGGUUGAAAAGUGAACUGCAUUGCAUUGUGGCUUCAUGGCCUGCUCAGGGUCCCUCUGUGCACUGUUCCAAGGCAGGGUGUGAUUCAUAAUCUCUUCCAAAAGCAUCAGUGUGCCUUCUCUUACGGUAUGACUCUCUCAAAGCCCAGACAUGCAGCUGAUGCCUCCUUUUAGUGCCUGAGAAGGGAGAGUAUUUAAGGAUCCUGCCAGCUUGAGCUCUAUGCAGCCUCCACUCUCUUUAGAAGUGUGACGUUUGGUAAUUAGGUGGAGCCCUCAAAUUAGACUGCACGUGGGGUUUUGCUUUCGGCAGUGAGUGAAGAUGCUUGCAGCCCUGGUGUACACACACACACACAUGUCCUACCUGGCUGUUGUACCCUCUCUCUUCCUAGCCCUGCGCUUCUCCCGUGUUAUUAUCCAUGUUGUACAGAAGGGGAGGAGACAAAUGUGUAACUGGCAGGAAAUGCGUUUGAAAUGGAAACUUAAUAUAAUCGCUGCCAGCUGUUCAGAAAAAAAUGAGAGCGAGCGAUACUUUGUUAAACACCUAGCCUGUCCCAUUUUCGCAGAGAUUGAUUUCAUAAUAAGCUUGGUUCAGUGGUUUUAUUUCCCAGUCCUUGGGAGCUCAAAGUUUUCAUCCACUGGGGCUUGGCUGGUGUUUGCCUGUCUUGUUUGUGGUUGGUGCCAGUUGAUGUAAAUGCCUCACUGCCUGGCCUCGCCCGCCCGAUGGGGGCUCUGGGCUCCGAGCCAUGUGGACUUUUAACAUCCCAAAGGGCACUCUCCUUCCCUUCACCAAUGUUGUCUGUCCUCUCCCCAGGUCUGGGAUGAGCAUGGUUUCCAGCCUCCCAGCUGUAAGGCCUGACACCCAGGCCAUUGGUGAAUGUCUCUCUCUCCCUGCCCACAUCCUGUCAGAUGCCGGUUGCUGUUAAUUCUAGACUUUGAAGCCUCACGGCUGGUCUCUCCUUUUCCUCUGGCCUGGGCAGCCCACAGCUGUUGGGGUGAUCCCCUGCUUCUGGGAUCCAGAGCCACAGUCUUAGAGUGGCCUGUAAGUCCUGGCAUGGUGCCUGGCACACUGUGGGUGCCCAGCAGGUGUUUGUCCAAUGAAUGUGCGGAAGGGCUUCUGAGCUUGCUCACCGUUGCCGCUCCCUGCUCCAGCCGCACAGAGUCCCAGCACCUGUUCCCCUGCCCCUCUGCUAUCCACAGUGCCUCCCUCAGCUCCUGACCACUGCAAAGCCUCUUCCCCACUUCCCUGUGCCUGAAAACCUUCUUUCCCCAGCUCCCCAACCCACGUUUUGCCUGGCUAAUCCAUUUGUUAAACCUCAACUCAGCUUAUAUCUCCUGUCCUCAGGGGGCCCUUCCUGGAUGCUCCCCCGCCCCCUACAUUCAAUCUGCCGGUUGCUGCUUUUUUAGUGUUCUGCACUCUUCUACCAGGACCCCGUGGCAGGCCAGGACCGUUUCUCCGGUGCUAUCCCAGAGCAUGGCGCAUCCACUCAUUCACUCAAGGUAUCAAGCUCCACUGUGUUCUGGGGACUGGGCCAGGCGCAAGCCCAGGCAUGGAAUCAUCACACAGAAUUGUACGUUUGCAGUGUGAUGGGAGCCACGGGGGAGAGGCCACAUGGGCAACAGCACAGAGCUGGGGGUGUCGGGUGAGGAUCCUGGGAGGAAGUGGCUGGGGCCCCCUCUCCCUCCCUCAUCCUGUAGGAUGCAGGCCCCUUUCAGGCCCACCCGGGGGAAACAGAGCCUCCUAGUCAAGGCUGGAUGUGCAGUGGAGCCCUGUCUGGACAGGCUACCCCUCCUGACGAGGUGGGAGGUGUUGGCGUGGGCAGAGGAGCCAAUCUUGAAUUCUCUCCCCCGCUCCACCUCAAGCUGCCAUGUGGAAUUGCAGGAGACCCUGGAGGGAGCAGAAAACCAGGCUCGGCCGAAGCCACCUCCACACCACGGUUUCCUGGGUUCCCCAAAACCAGGCUUGGCCGAAGCCACCUCCACACCACAGCUUCCCGGGUUCGCUGUGUCUGCUUCUGUUCUUAUUCCUGAUUAGCUGUGCCCCCACCCGGCCAGGUCAGGGCACAGUGAGACUCCCCAUGGUGGCAGGCGUGUGAAGUCUGUGCAGGCUUGUACGUGGCUGGCCCCCCACCUGAACUGUACGCCCCUGGAAGGCAGGGUCCGUGUUUUGUUCACGGAGGCUGGUGAUACCCAGAGGACAUUGGCUGGCUGGCUGGCUGGCCGGGGGCGAGACGCACACAGAGAACUUGAGGAUUGUGGAUUGGAGGAAACUUUGCAUUCUUGCCCAUACCACAAAUUUCUGACUUAAAACACUGCUGUGCCCCAGUUCAGUAUUUGCCUUUGACAAACACUGUAGGGCCAGUGAGAAAGUUGAAGAGAUUUUUCAACUGACUAGCAGUCGGUAGACCCGUUAACUGAGGCCACCCCGGCCAGAGCACAUUGCAUUCCUGCCAACAGAUGGUGGCCUGUAUGAUGACAGGGCCUCUCUUGCAUAUGGCCUUUUAUAAUUAAAAGAAAGAAGUAAUAGGUAGAAAGAGAGAGAGAGAGGGAGAAGGCAGGGGAAAAAAAGCUUGCAGCAUGCUUUUAAAAUGUCAUCGCACCACUGCACUCCAGCCUGGGUGACAGAGUGAAACUUUGUCAAAAAAAAAAAAAAAGUUCUCUUUGAAUUGACCUAAACUAAUGUUUUCUUAAUAGCCCACCCUCUCCUAUCCUCUCGGUCCACCCGACUUAGCUGGGCAAAAAUAACCCUGUGGUAGGACAGCCGUCUGCUGUUGGAAAGUAUCGCAGCUCCUCCCGUGUCUGCCCCGUGCACAUGUGCCAAGGUCCUGCCUUGAAUGAAGGACACAGCGGAGAAGGAUGUAGGCUCUGAGCCUGCUAGGGUGCCUGAGAGACUCACAGGACUACCCCUGGGGCAGUUGGAAGAUGCCCAGAAACUUCAGGGAGCCACCAGCAUGGGGCAGAGGGUCUCUUCUGGAGUUGGUGGCAUCAGAAUCAGGUGUAGAGUACAUAGGAACUGUUGGCGCCGUGCAGAGAUGGGGAAGGAGGUGCCGGUGGAAGGGCCCAAUGCCUGCGCCCCUGGGGCCCUCACUGGAGGCUGAGCAUCCACUGGACUCUUGUAGCCCGCUUUGUAGACUGAUCAGUAGUCUGUGACAUGACGAUGUUUGAGUAGAGUAGACCAUUUUCUGCUUCAUAUAUCCUACAACGUGCUGGGAUCAGGAGGCAGUGGUGGGUCCAUGGCAUCUGACCCAGCCCGACGCCCUUGUGGUCUCCAGGCGGUCAUGACCCAUGGCCUGACCCGGCUUGGUCAGCCCGGCCUGGCCGUGUCUUCCCAGGUUCACACCCAGCCCUGGCCCCUCUCUGCCCCCUUGCCAGGAAAUUUGAGUCCUCCUUAACGUUUCUCAAUAUUGUGGUUUUGUUUUGUUCUUUCUCAUUCAUUUGUCUUUUAAUUUUUGGCUUCCGUUUUUUAUGGGCACCUAAUUGUGUGUGUUCUAAAAAUUGAAUUGUGCUUCUGUUCUUAUUGAUGGCAGCUAACCAUCACUGUGUAAGUAGGCAGGAUGUGGAGGUCUACCUAGGAGAACUCGCUUGCCUCUGCUUUUCACCGACGCAGGCCCGGUGGAGAUGCUCCAGCGGAAGCCAGGACUUGUCUCCUGGUGGAGUCCACCGGUUUCAUUCAUCAAAAGUUUGUUGGGCUCUCUGCACACACGUUGUAAAGAGCACUGCAGGCAGUGCACAGGCAGGGCUGUGGGAGCUGUGGGCGUGGCUCCCGCCAGGGUGGAGCUGCACCCUCCAUGGGGAGUCAUGGUGCAUGUGCACAGCUGCAGAGAGAGGCUGCAGGGCAGGAGAACCUCGGGAACCCCGUAGUCUCCGCUUGCCCUGACUGUAUGAAGAACAUGCUCCAUUUGGGUAUCAGUGAAACUGCACACCAGGGGGGAACAUUCAAAUCGUGAACUCCAACAUCAUCCAGCAGAAAAGCUCCGAGCGAUGGGCCACUUUGUGCCUUGCUGCCAGCCCUCCGCUGGGAUCACGCUGCAGUGUCCUUUGAAGAAAAGGCCUGGGAUUUGCAGAGCCUGGAGAAGGCUAAAUUUCCAACUAGAUGAAAAAAAAAAUUGCCAUUUUAUGAGAACCUUUGGGCAGUCUGGAAGAAAAACACCAAGAUGAAAAGCCCUAUUUUGAGAGCUCCCUUGCCUUCAAGCAGGGGCCGCUGGCAGUGGAAACCGGCUGGGGAUCGGGCUGAUGGCAGAGUGAGGUUCAGGCUGGGAGCGGGCAUGUGGACAGGUCCCUCCCUGCAGAUCCACGUCUGCCUCCCACUCGCAGAUGCCCCUGUGCCCAGCGCACCGUAGGCUCACUUGGUCAAACAUCAGGGGCAUGGCAGGGCCAACAGAUAAAUGGAUUUUCCCGCAAACGUACUAGUCAUUGAUGGGCAGCUGUUUUUCCCUCUGUGGCCGUGUAGCCAUGCUCAGGCCAUGUGCAGGAUGAGGAAUUCCUGAAGAACUGUCUGCACCCAGGGCAGAGAUUACGGGGUUCUGAGGUUCCCCCGCCCCGCGGCCUCUCUUGGCGGCUGUGCGUGUUCAGUUGCCUUCAUUGAAACCCAAGCAUCCGUCCUCGGCUGCCACCGACACAGGUCAAGGCCACCCAGGAGGAGACACUGUGGGGCCCUGCCCAGUUCUCACGGGUAUCGCAUUUUGGCAGGACGUGGACCCAGGCAGGACUGGGAACGAUGACCCUCAAGUCCAGGUCGGUUCCCAUGUGUGGCCUUCAGGAACUAAAAUCAUCAGCUUUCAAAUCAAACAGGUUUCAUCUGAGCUACUGAGACGUCACGGGCUGUCAGUAAAGGCCAUGAGGGCCCCCUAGGGGCAGCAAAGGCCGUGGGAAGAUGCAGGAAAGAGUGAGUGGGAAGGCAGGGGUGUGGCGGGAAGGCAGGGGUGCGGCCGGAGGGCGGGGUGGGGCUUGCAGGCUCUCCCGCCUAGUGUCUCAGCCACUUGAAAGUGAGCUGUGAAUAGGCAUCACUCCACUUUUAGGGAUGCAGGACAGUAGAGACUGUGUGUUGGUGGCAUGUUUCAGAAAUGAGACUUCUCCACGUCGGUGGGGAGGGGUCUGCCCUGCUCAUGGGCCCUGGGAGCGGAAUGGCCGACGGCCGGUCUCUGCUCACCCAGGCUCGCUCCGCCCCACGGAGGAUUCCCCAGUUUCCUCGAAGGGCACUUGCCUACCGAGGUCCCUGCGGCUGUGACUUCCCUGUCAUGCUGCUUCCUAAGAAUCCAGAACAGAUUCAGGUCAGUGCGUUUCGAGGCAGCUAAGUACAACGGCAGCGUCUGUCCUUAAACUUGAGUGCAGAGCCAGGGUCACCGCCGCCCGCUCGCAGCAGCUGACUGGUGUGAACUGAUGGGGUGGACAUAACCUGGCUUCUCAGGUGGGGCUUUGCAGGGCUGGCUUGCUCCAGGCUCCCUCCAGGCCACCUUGUGCAAUGGUUUCACCUCGUCUUAUUCUAGUGCAGGUUCGCCCCCUGCCUGGCUCCAUCCUUCUUUUCAAAGUCUGGGCACAGAAUGGAGGCCAGCCCACGUGGUUAUCUGGUCUCCACACGUGUCUCUGGGUUUGUGGGGGUGUUGGCUUGCAGACCAGGAGCAGCUAACAAGGUCUGUACCUUGUUUCGAAUUUUGGACUGAACUGUCUGGAAUUCUUGGACGUUCUCAAGCUAACUCAGUUGCAUGAAUUUAGAGGCAAAAGGGUGGGGAUAAUUUUUCCCUUGGAUUUGUCAGUUCCAAGAUGUAUAACUUUAGUAUUCCAGAAAAUAGAUUUAUACCAGAUCGGGAAUUUCUCUAUUUCUCUCUCUCUCUCUUUGCUCUCUCUCUGUCUCUCCUCUCUCUCUCUCUUUCUCUCUGUCUCUCUGUCUCUCUCUCUCUCUCUCUCUCUCUCUCUCUCUCUCUCUCUCACACACACACACACACACACACACACACACACACACACUCAGUAAGAGUUCAGGCCAGUUACAAAGGUCAAGGACACAGUCCAUGCAAGGCCUCACCCUGGUACGAAUCACAAGUUCAGGUGCCCAAGGCCACCCUCAGUUUGAUGAUUCUAGAAGGACUCCCAGAACUCCUUGAAAGCUAUUACACUCACAGUUGUGGUUUCUGUAUUAGUCCAUUCUUGAAUUGCUGUGAAGAAAUACCUGAGACUGGGUAAUUUAUGAAGAAAAGAGGUGUAAUUGGCUCCUGGGUCCACAGGCUGUACAGGGGCAUGGUGGCACCUGCUCGGCUGCUGGGGAGGCCUCAGGAAGCCUCCAGUCCUGGCAGAAGCCAGAGGGGAGCCAGCCUGUCUGGGUGGGAACAACAUCUACAUAAAUCAGUUCCUUACCGGGAAAGGAUACAGAUUAAGAUUGGCCAAAGGAGGGGAGGCAGGGGGCCGAGUCCAGGAAAAGUGCCCCAAGCGGAGCUCUUGCUGUCCCUUUCCUGUGGGACUGGGACUUGUGACUCUCCUGCGUCAACGUGGUAGCACGAGCGAGGGCCAGCCUCAAGCCACAGUGUCCAGGUUCUCACUGGGGCUCCAUUCCAUGGGCAUGGCUGAUUGAGUGACCACCCAAAUGGUCAGUCCCCGUCCUGCGGCCGAUUGCCACCGUGUGGUCCCCAUCUCCCACCCUCCAUGACACCGUUGGUCUUUCUGGCAUGGCCAGCCCCACCCUGAGACCAUCAUGGUGGCUCUCCUCCACCCUAAGUCACAUCACUGGACUCUCCUGUGUAACCCAAGGCCCUGGGCAAACAGUGACUCCUAUCAGGCAGGACAUCGUGGAGGUCACCUCCCAGUGGCUGAGGACAAAGGUCAGGCCUCUUUGGGGCAGGAUUCAAUUCUUACCGCAGACCUUCCUCCUCCCACACACAAGUGAGCUACGGAGAAAAGGGAAUAGAAUAUCUCUCUGGUGGGUCUGGAAUGCCCGUUUUCGGAGGCUGGUUGGAACUUUCUUAUCUCCUUUUAUUUCUGAUUUCUGUUGAAAUUCCCCGGAACUAAUGCCUAUUGUAUGAACCUGAUUACAAAGAGAGAGAUUUUACAGAGCAUUUUUCCUCUCAGGAAAAAGGAGGCACCCUGCUUUUUUCUCAGUGAGAGAGAAAUGUUCUUUGAAUAAUUUUUUAAUUUACUAAAAAAUUUUUGAUCCUACUGCUAAGGGGAUGCAACCUUCCUGCAGAGAGGCGUGCAGAUAAAGUUGUCUUAAUAUUUGCAUUUCUGCAGAGCAUGGGCUGCUGCAGCCCGGGGGGUGUGUACCGUGGUGAUUUGUAAAGUGACUUCUACCCUGUCACAGGGGUGAGGAAAAUGGGUCCCCAGGCUGUGAAGGCCUCGUCCCUCCCCACGGCCAUGGGAACCGGACUGAGGUUCCUUACUUGGCUGGACACAGUUUGACCCAGACUCUUCUCCAAACCAGAGGCCAGCCUUCCCACUUAGUAAAAAAUUCGUUAUCCUUCCCCUAGAUGUUAUUAAUUUCUUCCUGGGGUUUUAAAGAAGUCAGUGCAUUUUAUGGCCAGUGGAGUGUUGAUGGUUCAGUGCACAUAGCACCUGCGUCUGUGAGUGGAGUGUUGAUGGUUCGGUGCACAUAGCACCUGCGUCUGCGGUGAUCAGCACCCUCGGGGCAGAGCGUUGCAUCCAAACGGGCAUUUUCGGCGUGAUGUUCCCAGUGGGGCUUUUCCUAGCAAUGGCUUUUUAAACUCUGCUGCGAGGACGCCCAGCAUCAGCGACAUCCAACUCCCUGGAACGGCAGGGCUGCCACUGAACUUGUGUGGUCCAGGCCUGGAGUGUCCAGUUCUCUCUCAAGCUGGGCACUGGGUCCCCGAGAGUCUCCCAAGGACAAUGGAGAAGCAGGAUGCGCGGGCUCAGAAGCAAUGCGGCCCCCCAGCACUGCAUGCCCAGCCACCCCAACUUCUAGGCAGCUGCAGGCUCCCACCUGCGCAGAGAAUAGGCUGUUCACCUGCAACGGCGGCUGGCGCCGGGGGAGGUGGGCGUUCUGGGAGAGGAGGAGCCCCUGGCUGCAUGGCUGUGCCGUGGGUGGUGCCGUGGACCUGCUGGUGGCCGAGUCCCUCUGAGGGCUGCAUGUUUUGAGGGGACCCUGGCUUUGGCCUGGCAUGGACCCUCUUGCGCAGAUCAUCUCGUGAUUCUCCUGGCAACCCUGUGAGACGGACGGGUUCUUUCAUUGCCCACUGUUGGCACCUGGGGAGAUGGAGGAGCACAGAGGGGACACACCUUGCUCAGGAUCACACAGCAAGGAGGUGCCAAGGUCGAGUUGGACCUGGACUCCCCACUUUCACGGCCAUGUGGGUCUCUGCAGGGCACCCUUCCUGGAGGAGGACCGGUGCAGACCCCUGUUGAGUAGGGGACAGCCGCCUGGAGAACCACCCUUGGCCGCCUUAGGUAGGUGCCAGCGCAGGUGUCUGCAGUCCUGACGCCAGGGGGCAGGAUGAGACAGGGGAACGAAGUCGGUGCGGCAGGCGUGGCGGCCUCGCCGGUCUUUUCCUGGGACGCUCUCAGGAUGGCUCUCGGAGGGUGCCCGGGCGGCAGGCAGGGCUCAGAAUGCGGCUCCGUUGCUCACUAACGGCCUUCAGAGUCUUCUGAGCAGUCCAGGAUGGGGGCAGCAGCUGCCUCUGUAGAGAAUGUGAAUCUUUGGCUUCUCAGGUAUCCAACACCUUGGCAAGCACCAGGGAGUGAAAUCACUGAAUUAAGAAUGUGUUUGUGAGAAGUGGCAGCUGCUUCCCGCUGGGGCUCAGGGAGGGAGUUGCGGGCUGGGCCGGGGGCUGCUGAGCUCCGUGUCCACUGCUGUCUGGUCUGGAAACAGCGUGAAUCCCGGUGACCGCCGCUCCCUCCCAGGCUGUCCCGGCAGGUUCUGAGCUGGUGAGAGGGAUUUCAGGGUGGUGGGUGCUGUGCUGAGGCUUUGCUCCCCUGCUGGGUUGAGUGUCUGCAGCCGCCCCCACAUCCCCCGCUUUGCUAGUCUUUUCCUUCACGCAGCCUUUGCUGCCCAGGGGGACCCACCCCAGCUGUUCUCGGGAGCCCAGCCCCUCUGCAGAGUUCUUUAGGCUGCUCCUACCCAGAGGGACCUUCCCAGCAGGUGGGCCUAGCUUCAGAUCUCCAAGUCUGUGGUGGCCCCCACCCACUGAGACCCAGGAGGCCCAGCGGGACUUGGGGUUCAGGCCAAGGUUUGUCUGGCUCCCUCCUUCCUCCUUCCAGGCACGUUGUCUAGAAAUCACCUCAUCUCUUACAGGUCACCAGUUAAUUGUGUUGGAGGAAGCUCUGGGAUGUACGGGUCUGAAUGGCCCACAGCAGUUCAGGCCCUGGACUGAGCCUGGAACCCGCCCCCAGGGCUGGGUCCUGGCCUCGCCCAUCUGUCUCCCUUGAGGGGAGGGCUGGGUUCUUCUCUUGGCCUCAGUUCCCUCCCGUUUGCCAUUCCAAAUACUUUUUAUUCCCUCCCCCUUCCCCCAGCAUCUCCUUUCUCUUCCUUUGUCUCCAGCCUUGUCUGUCGCUUUGCUUCUGGGCCUUGGCAUCUGGGCAUGAACCCACCGCCUCCAGCCAGUGCGAAGAGUGGGCGCCACUGGCCGGGUUCAUCUUGCUGUGGUGGCGUGUUUGGGGGACCUGGGGGGGGACUGAUGGGUCCCCAGGGUUUCUGAGGAUGUGGGCCUUGGAGCGCUCCCAAGAGGCCAGUCUUCGUUUAACGUGGGUGGUCCCCACAAAUGCUGGGGAUGGGGGGUUUCCGGCCGCCCUCUGGGCAUGAACUUUGGGCCUUUAUCCCAAGUCUUCGGGGCAAGGAAGGGGAGUGGGAAUUAAACUGGUGCCGGCCGUUAGGUCCACCCAGCAGAUCUACCCGGCAGGCACAGCACCGCGGUCCGGAGAGCGCCAGUGCCUGUCACCAGGAGCAGAGUGAACCCCUCGUGGGUGCCAGCUCCUCCUGCCCCUCCUGAGCCUGACGGGGCUACGGUUUUCAGUGGCUGCGACGCCACAGGACCUGUGAGGAGAGACUGCACCCUGAAGGUCUGGCGGCGAGCGGAUCCUAAACAAAGUGAGGCCUAGGAGCGCCGUCCUGAAGGCACUGCUCUCCCCAGGGCCAGCUCCUGGCUAUGGGGUCAGACAGGUCGCUGGGUCCUCACAGCCAGCGCAAACACAGAUCCAGGCGUGGUCGUCCCGUGUCCAGGGAGCUGCUACCUUGUGCUGCUGGGACCUGGCAUCGAGUAGGUACAGCCAAGCCCACAGGAACGGAGCCGUGGCUUCCAGGGUCGUGCAACCCUGGCCUGCCCUGGGCUGGCUGAGGGGCCCACCACCCUGGGCUGGCACUUGGGCUCCCCUCAAGCAGACUGCCUGUCUGCAGCCUCAUCUCCUGAGAGCGGAGCCUCAGCCAGCCUAGGUGCAGGUCACCCUCACACGUGGCCGCACCAAGGCCACCUCACAAUCACAGCCAUGCCACAUGCUGAGCCCCCGAGAUGUGCAGGCCACAUGCCAGCUGGCUGCUUCUGUUGUGUUUCUGCGGGAGCUGCAUGAGGCUGAAGGAGAGACCCGGGCAGAGAGAGGCUGAGCCUCUUGCUCUUGGAGGCAGACGCGGGUUUCGGUGCUGCCCCCCUCUGACACCCUGGUCGACAUUUCUGUUCCUGCCUCAGGCCUCCUCCUUGAACCUGCCUCUGACCUCACCAGGAGUGGGUUUGUCUGGCGACCAGACCCUGGUGGCCUUCUGCUGAAGCCUCUGCAAUCGUUCCGCACUGGGGGCUCGGUGACCGCAGGUGGACCCUGCUCUGUGGGAAGCAGCCUGGGGGCUACGGGAGGCAGUGAGAGGGUCACCCCAUCUCUCUGGAGUUUGACACAGUCUCCCAUCUGGCCUCAACUGUACUGACCCCUGACCUCUGACCUUCAAGCCCCCAGGCCCAGUCGAACUGGUACCUUAAAAGGACACGGCCUGUUGGUGUCUGGGUGAGGCCACUGGGUCGAUGUGGAUGGAGGGUGGCUGGAUGUGCUUUCUGGGGGUCCUCUGGACACAGGGGGUGCUGUAAUCCCCUCCCCUUCCUGGAGACCUGGCGGACACGCCUCCUCCCAGGGACGCCCAGGCAGGCCAAGCCCAGGUCCACAGGUCGCCCUCUGUCUUCCAAGCAUUUGAAAGACACUGACAGAUGAUAAUACCUUUUUUUUUUUUUUUUCCAUUUAGGGAAAGGCCUGAAAGUAAAAUUGUAUCAACAUUAGGUUUGGCUAAUGUUGCCAUUAGGCAAACCUAAUUUUAAUGAAGCCAGGAGGUUCUCGUUUUGGGCCUUGACUGGACAGGUUUGAGCUAGAAACCACUUGAAGUAUUGAUCAUCCAUCUGAUCAUCAAGUUUUUUUUUUUUUUUGAGUUGGAGUCUCACUCUGUUGCUCACGCUGGAGUGCAGUGGCACGAUCUCAGCUCCCUGCAACCUCCACCUCCCGGGUUCUCCUGCCUCAGCCUUCCAAGUAGCUGGGAUUAUAAGCGUGUGCCACCAUGCCUGGCUACUUUUUUAUAUUUUCGGUUGAGAUGGGGUUUCACCGCGUGGCCAGGCUGGUCUCAAACUCCUGACCUCAAGUGAUCCGCCUGCCUCGGCCUCCCAAAGUGCUGGGAUUACAGGCGUGAGCCGCCACUCCCAGCUUGUUCAUCCAGUUUUUAUUGAGCAUCUAUUAUGUGCCGAUAUUGAGGUAGACUCUGGGAGUCACAGCAGUGAAUGCAGCUGCCUGGAUGCCUCGUGAGGGCCGGAGCCUCACUGGGGAGAUGGACAUGAACAGCAAAUGCACAGCGAGGAAAGCCAGGGGUCUGUGCGGGGAUGCUGCAGGACACGAGAACCAGCCAAGACCUAUGGCCCCUGCAGCCACCGAGGGCUCGAGAGCGCCCCUGUGGACUUGGCUGGGCCCUUCAUGGUGACAUCCAGGAAUGCGGCUGAGCGCGGGUGUUGACCUCGCUGUUUGCUGGAAUGUUUGGGUUCUUGGACCAUGUCAGUGACGGCUGUGUCACCAUGGCCUUGCUAUCCCCAGGAAAACCUAACAUGCACCCCGCGCCUGUCCUCUGGGACUCCCAUCCUCCUCCUUUGUCUGACCCCUGAGAGGCUUACCGUUUCCCCAGGGCAGCCCCGGCUGUGGCCCUCGGCCCUGCUCCAGGCGGCCAUGUCAGUGUCCUCCCUCGGCGCUCCCAACACCCUACCUGGCUCUGCGAUGGCCACCCUGGACUCCUAAACACCCCAGAAAGGGAAGAGAUUUAAGAGGAACCUUGAUUCCUGCCAUUCUGCGCAGUCGUGGGUCCCUCCUCCACCUGGGGCCCUCAAGGGGAUUUCUGUCCGCACUCCCAGCCAGCGACCCCUCCCAGUUCCUGCAGCUGGAGCGGCCCUCUCUCCUGAACAUUCGGGCACCUGCGUCUGUCACUGCAGCCAGAGGGCUGGAGUGUCUUCGGUCAACUCGCCAUCCCUGCCACGGCUGGAGGCCACAUGUCCCAGAACCUACCUUGCUGGGAUGGGGGUUGGGGUGGCAGAGGCUGAACGCGUGUGAGGUUUGGGGGAGGACAAGCGGAGCGGGGAUGUGUGGGAGGUCCUGGUGUCCACCGUGAGGAUGGUCACACCCCAUAGCUUUGUUGAUGCUGUGGCUGUAGCAGGCCCAGUGGCUCCGCUGAGCCUCCCUAGCACCAGUGCCCAGUGAAGUGUGGGGGGCUGGACAUAGGUGGCCUCAGUUCCUGGGACUCCCCCAAAGCUCUGGUUUCCCCCCUGCUCCCAGGCUUCAGGUGGACGAGUUAGUGACCACCCCCACUCCAGACCUCCCUCCCCUAGCCACCCCCACAGUUAUAAAAACCUUCAUUCUCAUAUGGAACCCCCUUUCCUGAAAUCCGUAGAGUGACUGACUGCUUUCUUGAGUGAAUCUGGACUGGGCCACAUGAUGAUCGCUGUACAGAGCAGCUGAGCUCCUCUGUCUCAGCCUCCCUGAGUUCACAGCAGGCUCUGGGCAUCAUCUCCGUGUCAUCCUAAGGCCACGGGCGGGGUUCCCACCAAACAGGAGAGCAGCUCUCCCGAGAUGAAGCCUUCUGAUAGCCCUAGAACCAAGAGGAACCGUGUGGGGUUGGGUGGGGUGUUUACUGUGCACUCCUGAUGUUCCCUCCCAGUGAAGGACACCCACCUGGGACACUGUGGCCCCUGGCCCUCCCUCCCUCCCCUCGGUGGCAGAGAGAACUUCCUGGUGGGUGACAGCCCAUGGUCCACCCUUGCCAGGUGGAUUCAGGCAAAAUACGCCAGGCUGUGUGCUGAAGGCAUCCCAUCUCUUCCUCGUCCCCUCUCGGCUGGAUCGGGGUGGGGCAGCGGGUGGUGAGUGUGUCUGUCCUGCCAGUUCAGCCUCCAACUGGUCUGCUGUGGGGCAGGAGCCCACCUGGCUCUCCUGCAGAGCUGCAUGGCCUGCCUUGCCUCACCCGUGACAACAGAGACUUUGGUUCUCCAUCUGCAGACGCAUUUGUCUUGUUUCUUAUUCGGUCCAGAACUCGGGUGGGAAGAAGGGUGAUGUUAUUUGGGUCCCCUCAAGACCUUGACAACAGAUAGUUUUUAAUAUCACAUUUUAAAGCCGCCAACUUUCUCUCCUCCACUUUGGUAUUUCCCUGAUUUUUAAACAGAAUGUCGGCUCUGGAGGCAGAAAGCUUGGGCUUGGAUCUGGGCCCUGCCACGCAGUAGCUAUGUGGCCAGGGAAUACAUAGCUUCCGGAUCUCCGAUCCCUACAGUAAAGUACAGAUAAAAAUACUUUUCAUUGAUGUGUUUGAAAUCGAAUGAGAUAGUUAAUGAAUGAGUAAGUGCUCUGCAAACUCCAGAGCGGGGUGCGCGUUCUGAUCUGUUUCAUAGAAUCUGACACGUACCCUUUCCCACCCCAGCGUCUCUGAAUUGGGAUGCAUCUGACAGCAAGUGUGGCAUCCGGGCUGCAGUUGCCGUUGUCUGCUCACAUGUGAAUUAAAAAAACAAUCUCAGCAUAUGAAAUCUCUAAUCGCGUAUGAACUUGGUGGUUAUUCCUGGUGCCGUGUGGAUAACUGCAGCCUCAACACCCCAGUCCACAAACCACGUACGGACCAACUGAGGAAGGAGUAGGGGUUCUUGUUGUUGCAGAAAACCCUCCCUCAACUUGCUCUAGAAGAUACCAGCAUUCAUACUUGGAGUGGGCAUCAGCAGCUUGGAAGACACAGCAGUGGGCCCCUCUUAGCAGGAGUGCCCCAUCUCAUGGCUCCCGACGACGACCCAGAGGGUGAUGCUGCGUAGGGGCUCACGGACAUUGGCACUCUAAGUCAGAGAUGCUCAGGUGAAGGGGGCUCUGAUGGUGAGGACAUUCAGAAAUAACAGAGAUUGGCUGGGUACGGUGGCUCACACCUGUAAUCCCAGCACUUUGGGAGGGAAGCCGAGGCAGGUGGAUCACUGGAGGUCAGCCUGGCCAACAUGGUGAAACCCCGUCUCUACUAAAAAUACAAAAAUUAGCUGGGCGUGGCGGCAUGUGUCUGUAAUCCCAGUUACUCGGGAGGCUGAGGCAGGAGAAUUGCUUGAACCUGGGAGGCAGAGGUUGCAGUGAGCCAAGAGUGCGCCACUGCACUCCAGCCUGGGCAACAGAGCGAGACUCUUUGUCUCAAAAAAGAAAAAAAAAAGAAACAACAGAGACUUAUUUUACUUAUGUUUUCCUCUUUUCUGUGUGUAUAAUGAGAGAAAUUAGGAUGCCAAAAAAAAAAGAAAAGAAAAGAAAAGAAAAACCAAGGCCUUCUAAGUCUAUAAAAAUUUUUUAAGUAAUUUUUUUUUUUUUUAAGAGACAGGGUCUUGCUCUGUAGCCCAGGCUGGGGUGCAGCAGUGCAAUCCCAGCUCACUGCAGCCUUGAGCUCCUGGGCUCAAAUGAUCCUCCCACGUUGGCCUCCCAAAGCAUAACACAUUUUAAAAUAAAAUUAUAGAUAAUAAGAAAGCAUUGUGUUAAAGUUUAAUUGGCAGCAUUUUAAAUUCUUUCUUACUGAGUUCCAGUUUUAAGCUCAGCUCUGCAGGUAAACAGCGGCACAAACCUGAUUGCAUUGCCUGGUCCCUCUGAGCCUCGGUUCCCUUAUCUGACAGCAGGGCUGUAUCUAUUCUAGCUCUCUGGGUUGCAGGUGAUGAGGAGAAGCAACCCUAAUCGGCUGAAGCCAAAGAAAGGACUUCAGAUCUCGUAACUGCAAAUCCUGGGGUCUAGCCUCAUAACUGCAAAUCCUGGGGUCUAGCCUCCCUCUCUGGUUCUUGUCACCUCCUCGUGGGCUUCAGUCCCAAGUUCCAGAUCGGGGCAAGACAUGGCCGAAGCCCAGGGCCCGCAUCCUCCCAGAUUCCAGCCACCUGGGAGUGUGUCUGUGGUCCCUGGUCUCUGACGAGGUCCUGUGCCCUGCCAUUGGUUCCAGGGGACUGCCGGAGCUGAUGGGUCAGGCCUGCACUGGAGCUGGGUGGAGUUGGCUCCAUCCUGAGGUUACCCCUAUGCCAGAGGGGCAUGGGUGGUUCCCAGGGUAGGGAAAGUGUGUGCUGGGUACCCAGACAUCGAAGCCUACUGUGCCUCCUUCUGUGACAAGGCAUGUGUCAUGUGUUGCUCCAGGAUGGGCAUGUACUCAUAGAUGGGGCUCAACAGGUUGAAUUCUCCUUUCCCUCCUUUCCUCUGGCUUAUGGUCAUCCACUCUUUGGAGCUAGCCAGGCCAAGUUGGAGGAUGCAAAGGUGAAUGGGGACACUGGCAUUCCAAAGGGGACCCGAUAUAGUUUGGCUGUGUCCCCACCCGAAUCUUACCUUGAAUUCCCAUGUGUUGUGGGAGGGACCUGGUGGGAGGUGAUUGAAUCAUGGGGGCAGGUCUUUCCCAUGCUGUUCUCAUGAUAGUGAAUAAGUCUCAUGAGAUCUGAUGGUUUUAUAAGGGGGAGUUUCCCCACAUAAGCUCUCUCUCUUUGCCUGCUGCCAUCCAUGUAAGAUGUGACUUGCUCCUCCUUGCCUUCCGCCAUGAUUGUGAGGCCUCCCCAGCCACGUGGAACUGUAAGUCCAUUCAAUCUCUUUCUUUAGUAAAUUGCCCAGUUUCGGGUAUGUCUUUAUCAGCAGUGUGAAAAUGGACUAAUACAGGGCCGCUUUGCAAAUAUGAUGGAGCCUCACAUCCCACAGAGCCAGGCUCGGGCAGAUCUCUGAGGCAGGCUUUCUUUGUGAAGAGCUGCCUUGUAAGGGAGCCACAGAAAACACCUGGAUAACGUAGAAGUCUUUGCCUGGGGGUGGGGAGUCAGCACGUAACCUUCUUAUUUUUGGAAUAAGCUCAUGUGUUUCUGCUCAUGGGGGACGAAAAACAACCUGCAGAGGCGCUUCGCUGUGUUCACGCAGUAGAGUUCCCAGGAAACCCUGGAGCUAAUUCCAGGUCAAAUUCUCAUCCAAAACACUGGCUGCAAACGGCCCUGAAUGCUGGAGUGAUGGCAGGUCGUGACCAGACAGAGAAGACCAAGAGCCCUCCCGGGUUAAUAGCGUAGGGGAUUUAUUUCCAGGAUCACCACCCCCGGACUUGCCAGGCAGAGGGCUGUUCCGAGCGGCGCUGGAGGACAGGGUGCCUGAGGGCAUCUCAUUCUCCCAGCAGGACACCCUGGUUGCUUCCUUCCCACCUCCAGACCUUUAUUGGCAAUUCACCCGCUACAAAGGGCUCGCCCUCCCCAGUGCUAUUUGUGGCUUUGCUGCUCAUGUGGGUCCCCUGCUUGGUUCAGAGGAAACCUUUGUGUGCCCGGAAGGCCACCAGUGGAGGCCAGCAAAUGCUGCCAUUUCACCCCAGCCCACAGUGCCAGCUGCUGUUGUGGGGACAGUCUUUUCCCUUUUCCAGAUAGGGGCUGAAAGUCAUCUGCGUCUGGAACCCUCCCUUUCUCAAGGACAGUGGCGGUGGAAGGGGAUGCUCUGCCCUGCUCCAGGAAACGAUUCUUCAUGAGUGGGCACACAGGCCGUCUCCUGAGACAUCCACAUUCUCUCUCUGGCCACUUUGCCUGGUGAUGAAGGCCCAGGUUGGCAAGGUGUCGGGGACAUCAGGGAGCCUAGGGUUAGUGAGCAUUGGCAACAGUGGCUACUCACAUCCCAGGGAUCAGGAGGCCUAUGGGGAAAGACCCAGUGCAAGCCCCCUCCCAUGCACGACAAGGGGCUGCCCCCAGUUCCAUGGAGUGAUAAAAAUGCCCAGUUGUCCAGUCCCUGAGGCACUUUAACCACGCAGGACCAGCUCCAUUUCCAGGACUUGCUCUAGGUAUCUUCUCCCAGCCUGCAGCCCUGGGCUGUCUUGGUCUCUGGGCCCCUCACCCUAUGAAUGCCAUGGGGCUGGGUGCACUCUGCAUAUCUACAUGUCAUGGCCACCCAUGCCCCCGUCCUCAGGUAUUCACUGGCUGGCACUUUCCCCUGCUCUGUUCUGCAGGUUUCAGGCUGACAAUGGGCACUGAAGUUCCAAGGG